GACGAACGCUGGCGGCGUGCCUAACACAUGCAAGUCAAGGACUGUAGCAAUACAGGACUGGCGCACGGGUGCGGAACACGUAGGUAAUCUGCCCUUUAGGGGAGAACAACCAGCCGAAAGGUUGGCUAAAUCUCCGUAACAUCACGAUGUGGCAUCACAUUGUAAUCAAGUUUUCUAAAGGAUGAGCCUGCGUCUGAUUAGCUAGUUGGUAGUGUAAUGGACUACCAAGGCUUCGAUCAGUAGCUGGUCUGAGAGGAUGAUCAGCCACAUUGGGACUGAGACACGGCCCAGACUCCUACGGGAGCAGCAGUGAGGAAUAUUGCACAAUGGACGAAAGUCUGAUGCAGCAACGCCGCGUGAGGGAUGAAGGUG
rnacentral:rRNA from 1 species